AGAGUUUGAUCCUGGCUCAGAUUGAACGCUGGCGGCAUGCCUAACACAUGCAAGUCGAACGGAGGUAGGGGCAACUCUACUUCAGUGGCGGACGGGUGAGGAAUGCGUCGGAAUCUACCCUAUGGUGGGGGAUAACACAGGGAAACUUGUGCUAAUACCGCAUGAUGUCGAGAGACCAAAGCAGGGGACCGCAAGGCCUUGCGCGAUAGGAUGAGCCGACGCCCGAUUAGCUAGUUGGUAGGGUAAAGGCCUACCAAGGCGACGAUCGGUAGCUGGUCUGAGAGGAUGAUCAGCCACACUGGGACUGAGACACGGCCCAGACUCCUACGGGAGGCAGCAGUGGGGAAUAUUGGACAAUGGGCGCAAGCCUGAUCCAGCAAUGCCGCGUGUGUGAAGAAGGCCUGCGGGUUGUAAAGCACUUUUGUUCGGGAAGAAAACGGAUCGGUUAAUACCCGGUUCGGAUGACGGUACCGAAAGAAUAAGCACCGGCUAACUUCGUGCCAGCAGCCGCGGUAAUACGAAGGGUGCAAGCGUUAAUCGGAAUUACUGGGCGUAAAGCGUGCGUAGGCGGCUUUUUAAGUCGGAUGUGAAAUCCCCGGGCUCAACCUGGGAAUGGCAUCCGAUACUGGGGAGCUAGAGUUUGGGAGAGGGUGGUGGAAUUCCCGGUGUAGCGGUGAAAUGCGUAGAGAUCGGGAGGAACAUCAGUGGCGAAGGCGGCUUUCUGGACUGACACUGACGCUGAGGCUCGAAAGCGUGGGGAGCAAACAGGAUUAGAUACCCUGGUAGUCCACGCUGUAAACGAUGAAUACUAGGUGUAGGGGGUGUAAACUCCCUCUGUGCCGCAGCAAACGCAAUAAGUAUUCCGCCUGGGGAGUACGGCCGCAAGGUUGAAACUCAAAGGAAUUGACGGGGGCCCGCACAAGCAGCGGAGCAUGUGGUUUAAUUCGACGCAACGCGAAGAACCUUACCAAGGCUUGACAUCCACUUAAGCUCAUGGAAACAUGAGGUCCCUUCGGGGAAAGUGAGACAGGUGGUGCAUGGUUGUCGUCAGCUCGUGUCGUGAGAUGUUGGGUUAAGUCCCGCAACGAGCGCAACCCUUAUCAUUAGUUGCUACGCAAGGGCACUCUAAUGAGACUGCCGGUGACAAACCGGAGGAAGGUGGGGAUGACGUCAGGUCAUCAUGGCCCUAAUGGGUAGGGCUACACACGUCAUACAAUGGCCGGUACAGAGGGCUGCCAACCCGCGAGGGGGAGCUAAUCUCAGAAAACCGGUCGUAGUCCGGAUCGCAGUCUGCAACUCGACUGCGUGAAGUCGGAAUCGCUAGUAAUCGCGGAUCAGCUUGCCGCGGUGAAUACGUUCCCGGGUCUUGUACACACCGCCCGUCACACCAUGGGAGUGGGUUCUGCCAGAAGUAGUUAGCCUAACCGCAAGGGGGGCGAUUACCACGGCAGGGUUCGUGACUGGGGUGAAGUCGUAACAAGGUAACC
rnacentral:rRNA from 1 species